rnacentral:rRNA from 1 species
UGCAGUUGAGCGCUGAAGGUUGGUACUUGUACCGACUGGAUGAGCAGCGAACGGGUGAGUAACGCGUGGGGAAUCUGCCUUUGAGCGGGGGACAACAUUUGGAAACGAAUGCUAAUACCGCAUAAAAACUUUAAACACAAGUUUUAAGUUUGAAAGAUGCAAUUGCAUCACUCAAAGAUGAUCCCGCGUUGUAUUAGCUAGUUGGUGAGGUAAAGGCUCACCAAGGCGAUGAUACAUAGCCGACCUGAGAGGGUGAUCGGCCACAUUGGGACUGAGACACGGCCCAAACUCCUACGGGAGGCAGCAGUAGGGAAUCUUCGGCAAUGGACGAAAGUCUGACCGAGCAACGCCGCGUGAGUGAAGAAGGUUUUCGGAUCGUAAAACUCUGUUGGUAGAGAAGAACGUUGGUGAGAGUGGAAAGCUCAUCAAGUGACGGUAACUACCCAGAAAGGGACGGCUAACUACGUGCCAGCAGCCGCGGUAAUACGUAGGUCCCGAGCGUUGUCCGGAUUUAUUGGGCGUAAAGCGAGCGCAGGUGGUUUAUUAAGUCUGGUGUAAAAGGCAGUGGCUCAACCAUUGUAUGCAUUGGAAACUGGUAGACUUGAGUGCAGGAGAGGAGAGUGGAAUUCCAUGUGUAGCGGUGAAAUGCGUAGAUAUAUGGAGGAACACCGGUGGCGAAAGCGGCUCUCUGGCCUGUAACUGACACUGAGGCUCGAAAGCGUGGGGAGCAAACAGGAUUAGAUACCCUGGUAGUCCACGCCGUAAACGAUGAGUGCUAGAUGUAGGGAGCUAUAAGUUCUCUGUAUCGCAGCUAACGCAAUAAGCACUCCGCCUGGGGAGUACGACCGCAAGGUU